GGGAGAGGCCACAACAGUGAGAGGCCUGCGUACCGCAAAAAAAAAAAAAAAUUGGUGUUUUCAAUAGGAAAAAGAUAGUUAUUUGUGGGUAAUUAUAUGCUUAAGUAGUAUAUUGUAUAAAAACUAUGUGCCCUUGCAUAAACAGUAUAGCAAAAACUAUUGUGCUAUACUCUUUAAAUUAGUAAAAUUACAUAGUCUUGUCUAAUCUGUGCACUCAGAGUUUACAAUUAUGUCUGUAAAAUUCUAGCUCAGUAGUUCUCAACUGGGGGUGACUUUGGCUCCCAAAAGAUACUUGGCAGUGUCUGGAGACAUUUUUGGUUGUCAAAACUGGGCAGUGGGGCAUGUUGCUACUGGCAUGUAAUAAGGAGAGACCAGGGAUGCCUACAUCCUGCAAUGCACAGGACAGCCCCCCACAAAAAAGAAUGAUCCAACCCAAAAUGUCAACAUUGCUGAGGUUGAGAAACCCUGUCCUAGCCUGACUGAGCACCUCUUCAGCUUUGUUUCAGUUUCAGAAUAUUAAAACCUCAGAUAUUUAUGUGGGAGUUACUUAAAUGGCCCAGAACUUCAACUAUGAAACAUUACUGUGUAGUAUAUUGAAUAUAGAAAGUAAUGAAGAUUAUAGGUAUUUUAUUCAUAUGUUUCCAUCUGUAAAUAACGUGAGUCAGAAAACAAUGUAGGGAACAUCAGAGAUUGUCUAAAGUGGGUCACUUUGAAAAGCAGUUCAUUCGUCUAGCUAUUGAUGCUUUAGAUACCACGCACACUUUUUAAGCUUUAGUUAGUUACCCUUUCUUCUUUGACUUCAUUGUCUUAGUUUAGACAAAAAUUUUCAUUUCAGACAUGUACUGAAAUCUUAAUGUAAGUGGUUGAAGCUAGUAAAAAUGUUACCAAUUUAAAAAUGGUCCCCGUAGUCAAUGAGCUUGAACUCGGUAAGUGGUAAUUUGAUUUUUAAAAUAGAUAAUAGCUAUUUGGAACUGGGAGUGGGGGUGGGGGGAGAAUGUCCUUGUAUCCAAUAGUAAUGAUGAUGGUGAUGAAAUAAUGAUAGUAGCUGUGUGUUUUGAAUUAGGGAAUCACUGCACACUACCUGACCUAAUCUGUAGAAAACUGAGAGUAGUAUCUAUUAUUAUUCCUGAAUCUGAGGCUUAGAAGUCAUACAGUGUGUAAAUGGCUAAUUUCAUAUAUCAUGAUGUAUUUUGUCUUUGCUCCUCCCUGUGCAACAAAGUAUGUAUCUUUAGUCCCUUUGGUAUUUAUUCUGAGACCAAGGGCUUGCUUAAUUUGGUGAUGUGCCUUCAGUCCCCAGAAGGUACUUCUUCCACAAUCCAGGUGAUUCUAAUGCACACUAAAGUUGAGAAUCACUGCACGAGAUCACUUUGUAUUUUCCCAUUUCCAGAGCUGAUAUGUAGCCUUAGUAUAUCUCUUCUAUUGACAGGUACUACCUUGAUUCUGCAUUUGGUCCUUGUUAAUUUAAGAAUGUCUUGAAACCAUAUGUGACAUUUGAGUAUGGGUAUAUAGGGAAAAAAUAUACUUCUUCUUAGUUACCUUGACUUUGAAAUAGUGUUAUUUUUCUAUAACUGAAAUAAAUGCUUCUACCAUAAAAAUAAAAUUUGCCUGUACUAAUUAUGUGAACGUUUAUCAUUUCAAGUGAUGCUCAGUGAUGAGGGUUGAGGUUGUGAAGCCUGGAAAAGAGCUUUAUCAUGGAUUUGUUUUAAUGGCGAUGGCAGGAGUUCAAGAGCGAAAGAAGUGAUUCUCAAAGUGUCUUGAGGUCAAGGCUCAGGACUGGCACUUCACUUCUGCUGCACGAUACUGGCCAAAAACAAAUCAUCGGGUCAGACCAGAGUUGACAGGUGGGGAAUCGAGUCCACCUCUUGAUAUGAGGAGCUGUAAAGUCUUUGCAAAAAAUGGGGAUACAGAGAGGGGGCUUCCCUGGUGGC